GGGUUGUGAGGUUAAGCGACUAAGCGUACACGGUGGAUGCCCUGGCAGUCAGAGGCGAUGAAGGACGUGCUAAUCUGCGAUAAGCGUCGGUAAGGUGAUAUGAACCGUUAUAACCGGCGAUUUCCGAAUGGGGAAACCCAGUGUGAUUCGUCACACUAUCAUUAACUGAAUCCAUAGGUUAAUGAGGCGAACCGGGGAACUGAAACAUCUAAGUACCCCGAGGAAAAGAAAUCAACCGAGAUUCCCCCAGUAGCGGCGAGCGAACGGGGAGCAGCCCAGAGCCUGAAUCAGUGUGUGUGUUAGUGGAAGCGUCUGGAAAGGCGCGCGAUACAGGGUGACAGCCCCGUACACAAAAAUGCACAUGCUGUGAGCUCGAUGAGUAGGGCGGGACACGUGGUAUCCUGUCUGAAUAUGGGGGACCAUCCUCCAAGGCUAAAUACUCCUGACUGACCGAUAGUGAACCAGUACCGUGAGGGAAAGGCGAAAAAGAACCCCGGCGAGGGGAGUGAAAAAGAACCUGAAACCGUGUACGUACAAGCAGUGGGAGCACGCUUAGGCGUGUGACUGCGUACCUUUGUAUAAUGGGUCAGCGACUUAUAUUCUGUAGCAAGGUUAACCGAAUAGGGGAGCCGAAGGGAAACCGAGUCUUAACUGGGCGUUAAGUUGCAGGGUAUAGACCCGAAACCCGGUGAUCUAGCCAUGGGCAGGUUGAAGGUUGGGUAACACUAACUGGAGGACCGAACCGACUAAUGUUGAAAAAUUAGCGGAUGACUUGUGGCUGGGGGGGUGAAAGGCCAAUCAAACCGGGAGAUAGCUGGUUCUCCCCGAAAGCUAUUUAGGUAGCGCCUCGUGAAUUCAUCUCCGGGGGUAGAGCACUGUUUCGGCAAGGGGGUCAUCCCGACUUACCAACCCGAUGCAAACUGCGAAUACCGGAGAAUGUUAUCACGGGAGACACACGGCGGGUGCUAACGUCCGUCGUGAAGAGGGAAACAACCCAGACCGCCAGCUAAGGUCCCAAAGUCAUGGUUAAGUGGGAAACGAUGUGGGAAGGCCCAGACAGCCGUGAUGUUGGCUUAGAAGCAGCCAUCAUUUAAAGAAAGCGUAAUAGCUCACUGGUCGAGUCGGCCUGCGCGGAAGAUGUAACGGGGCUAAACCAUGCACCGAAGCUGCGGCAGCGACGCUUAUGCGUUGUUGGGUAGGGGAGCGUUCUGUAAGCCUGCGAAGGUGUGCUGUGAGGCAUGCUGGAGGUAUCAGAAGUGCGAAUGCUGACAUAAGUAACGAUAAAGCGGGUGAAAAAGCCCGCUCGCCGGAAGACCAAGGGUUCCUGUCCAACGUUAAUCGGGGCAGGGUGAGUCGACCCCUAAGGCGAGGCCGAAAGGCGUAGUCGAUGGGAAACAGGUUAAUAUUCCUGUACUUGGUGUUACUGCGAAGGGGGGACGGAGAAGGCUAUGUUGGCCGGGCGACGGUUGUCCCGGUUUAAGCGUGUAGGCUGGUUUUCCAGGCAAAUCCGGAAAAUCAAGGCUGAGGCGUGAUGACGAGGCACUACGGUGCUGAAGCAACAAAUGCCCUGCUUCCAGGAAAAGCCUCUAAGCAUCAGGUAACAUCAAAUCGUACCCCAAACCGACACAGGUGGUCAGGUAGAGAAUACCAAGGCGCUUGAGAGAACUCGGGUGAAGGAACCAGGGCAAAAUGGUGCCGUAACUUCGGGAGAAGGCACGCUGAUAUGUAGGUGAAGUCCCUCGCGGAUGGAGCUGAAAUCAGUCGAAGAUACCAGCUGGCUGCAACUGUUUAUUAAAAACACAGCACUGUGCAAACACGAAAGUGGACGUAUACGGUGUGACGCCUGCCCGGUGCCGGAAGGUUAAUUGAUGGGGUCAGCGCAAGCGAAGCUCUUGAUCGAAGCCCCGGUAAACGGCGGCCGUAACUAUAACGGUCCUAAGGUAGCGAAAUUCCUUGUCGGGUAAGUUCCGACCUGCACGAAUGGCGUAAUGAUGGCGGGCUGUCUCCACCCGAGACUCAGUGAAAUUGAACUCGCUGUGAAGAUGCAGUGUACCCGCGGCAAGACGGAAAGACCCCGUGAACCUUUACUAUAGCUUGACACUGAACAUUGAGCCUUGAUGUGUAGGAUAGGUGGGAGGCUUUGAAGUGUGGACGCCAGUCUGCAUGGAGCCGACCUUGAAAUACCACCCUUUAAUGUUUGAUGUUCUAACGUGGACCCGUAAUCCGGGUUGCGGACAGUGUCUGGUGGGUAGUUUGACUGGGGCGGUCUCCUCCUAAAGAGUAACGGAGGAGCACGAAGGUUGGCUAAUCCUGGUCGGACAUCAGGAGGUUAGUGCAAUGGCAUAAGCCAGCUUGACUGCGAGCGUGACGGCGCGAGCAGGUGCGAAAGCAGGUCAUAGUGAUCCGGUGGUUCUGAAUGGAAGGGCCAUCGCUCAACGGAUAAAAAGGUACUCCGGGGAUAACAGGCUGAUACCGCCCAAGAGUUCAUAUCGACGGCGGUGUUUGGCACCUCGAUGUCGGCUCAUCACAUCCUGGGGCUGAAGUAGGUCCCAAGGGUAUGGCUGUUCGCCAUUUAAAGUGGUACGCGAGCUGGGUUUAGAACGUCGUGAGACAGUUCGGUCCCCUAUCUGCCGUGGGCGCUGGAGAAUUGAGGGGGCUGCUCCUAGUACGAGAGGACCGGAGUGGACGCAUCACUGGUGUUCGGGUUGUCAUGCCAAUGGCACUGCCCGGUAGCUAAAUGCGGAAGAGAUAAGUGCUGAAAGCAUCUAAGCACGAAACUUGCCCCGAGAUGAGUUCUCCCUGACUCCUUGAGAGUCCUGAAGGAACGUUGAAGACGACGACGUUGAUAGGCCGGGUGUGUAAGCGCAGCGAUGCGUUGAGCUAACCGGUACUAAUGAACCGUGAGGCUUAACCUUACAACGCCGAAG
rnacentral:rRNA from 1 species